GACGAACGCUGGCGGCGUGCUUAACACAUGCAAGUCGAACGGAAAGGCCUCUUUCGGGGGGUACUCGAGUGGCGAACGGGUGAGUAACGCGUGAGUAACCUGCCCUUGACUUUGGGAUAACUUCAGGAAACUGGGGCUAAUACCGGAUAGGAGCUCCUGCUGCAUGGUGGGGGUUGGAAAGUUUCGGCGGUUGGGGAUGGACUCGCGGCUUAUCAGCUUGUUGGUGGGGUAGUGGCUUACCAAGGCUUUGACGGGUAGCCGGCCUGAGAGGGUGACCGGCCACAUUGGGACUGAGAUACGGCCCAGACUCCUACGGGAGGCAGCAGUGGGGAAGAUUGCACAAUGGGUGGAAGCCUGAUGCAGCAACGCCGUGUGCGGGAUGACGGCCUUCGGGUUGGAAACCGCUUUCGCUCAUGACGAAGCUUUGUGUGACGGUAGUGGGUAAAGAAGCACCGGCUAACUACGUG
rnacentral:rRNA from 1 species